CAUCUGAUUACCCAUUUUGUUUCAUAGCUGACCACUUUAGGAAAGGAGGUUGGUAACAGGCAUGGUCAGUUCCUUCAUUUAGUGUAUGGAUGAGUGGGCAAAGGUCACCUGUGCUUCUCAAUUUAUUGCUUCUCAUCAGAUAUGUGGUAAACGGGUAUGAUCAGUUACUGACCAGUUUCAGAGCAAAACCGGUCUUUUAAACUGAUUGCAUGUAUGCUUUUCAUCUGAGCUGUGAAGCAGAAUGUCUUCUCUCUUGGUGUAGUUCGCAGCAUACUCGUUAUUGUGGUUUAUGUGUCUCAGCUGGUGAGCAAGGUCUCAACUACUUUCAUUUGCACAGGGGCUCUUCCAUCUUCCACAGAAAAACUCUGAUCUAUCCCAGCUGCAGGUUUUCAUCUCAUCCAUCUAUCUUCAAGUUGAUUGAAAAGCUCCUGUAUGUGAAUCUGCCUGGUUCUUCCUCAUUGCAGCAAACAUCAAAUGAGUAAAACCAUUGUCAGUUUUUCUUUGCUGGCAUUUCCAGCAUUUCCUUUCUUUCCCCUGUUCUGAAUGAUAUCCUGCGAUGUAUUAACUGAAUUUUUAAUAUCUAAUUAUUUCCUUUAAAAAGUUGUUCACAACAACCUGCUUUGAUUUUGGAAUUUAUUUAGGCCAUUAUAUUUGAGGACAGGCUAGGAUUGAAGGGUCGUAAUUGAGCAAAAGUCAUGUUGCAAACAGAUCUGCUCAUUUCAAAUAAUUUUCAGUACACUUAGGUGUAAUUUAGAAGUCUUCUCCCCUUAAUAAACCCUCUGCUUUUUUUGGCUUUUUUAUUUUGUCUUUUUUUAUCUUACUAUUGCGUUUCAAAUUGCCUGAAUUGAAAUGGUGAUGCAGCAUUUACUGAAGGGGCGGAAUUUUUGUUUUGGAG